AGGCAGCCCCUGGGCCUGGUGGCCGCAUGAUUGAUGCAAGUAUUUGGUUCUCUUGGUAGUCAGGGAUGAGGCCUCCGCUGAGGGGAUUUGCCUCAUUCCAUGCGGGGCAGUAAGAUGAUUAAGUUACAAGGUGCACUGAAGGCAGGCUAUUUUGUCGCUCUGACCUCAAUUUCAGCAGGAAAGGACAAAACAAGUAGACCAAAAGGCAAAUUAGAGACUGGCAGAUGGCGACAAUUGCCCAGAUGCUGCAGCUUUCAUGUUCAUCUGAUGUUUCUAUGAUGCGCCAACGUUAUUUGUGUUCGUGGAAUUGCACGCCCGGAGUGGACCCAGGUGGCGCGCCCCCGAGGCUGGCCAUCGGCGUGGGCUCUGCGCUGCGUGGGUGGAGGUACUGAGUCCUGGCGGGCUCCCUCGCCCUCCUCCAGCCCUCCUGCUGGAUUGUGGUUGCACCCCUCUCCUCUGGAAGGGUGACAUUUGCACUUGAAUCCCAGGAUGGUUUCUGGACUCCUGCACUCUCUCUGAUCCUCUUGCCCCUCUCCCUUACUGUGUGAGCUCCCCAGACCCUCGAAGACCUGAGACAUGAAGAAGUGUUUCA